UACGAAGGGGGCUAGCGUUGCUCGGAAUCACUGGGCGUAAAGCGCACGUAGGCGGAUCGUUAAGUCAGGGGUGAAAUCCUGGAGCUCAACUCCAGAACUGCCUUUGAUACUGGCGAUCUUGAGUCCGGGAGAGGUGAGUGGAACUGCGAGUGUAGAGGUGAAAUUCGUAGAUAUUCGCAAGAACACCAGUGGCGAAGGCGGCUCACUGGCCCGAUACUGACGCUGAGGCACGAAAGCGUGGGGAGCAAACAGG
rnacentral:rRNA from 1 species